rnacentral:rRNA from 1 species
AGUGAACGCUGGCGGUAGGCCUAACACAUGCAAGUCGAACGGCAGCACAGUAAGAGCUUGCUCUUACGGGUGGCGAGUGGCGGACGGGUGAGGAAUACAUCGCAAGCUACUUUUUCGUGGGGGAUAACGUAGGGAAACUUACGCUAAUACCGCAUACGACCUACGGGUGAAAGCAGGGGAUCUUCGGACCUUGCGCGAUUGAAUGAGCCGAUGUCGGAUUAGCUAGUUGGCGGGGUAAAGGCCCACCAAGGCGACGAUCCGUAGCUGGUCUGAGAGGAUGAUCAGCCACACUGGAACUGAGACACGGUCCAGACUCCUACGGGAGGCAGCAGUGGGGAAUAUUGGACAAUGGGCGCAAGCCUGAUCCAGCCAUACCGCGUGGGUGAAGAAGGCCUUCGGGUUGUAAAGCCCUUUUGUUGGGAAAGAAAAGCAGCAGGUUAAUACCCCGCUGUUCUGACGGUACCCAAAGAAUAAGCACCGGCUAACUUCGUG